CCGCCCGUCACACCAUGGGAGUUGGUUUCACCCGAAGGCAUUGCGCUAACCUCGCAAGAGGAGGCAGGCGACCACGGUGGGAUCAGCGACUGGGGUG
rnacentral:rRNA from 1 species